rnacentral:lncRNA from 1 species
GUUGAGCAGUGAAUUGAGGCUGAGAUUUGACUAAUUUAUGGGCUGGAUUUUAUGAAGGUGUCUUCCAGAGAGUUGCAGACUUUUGAGUAUAUUUUCUAACGGUAUAAGAUUUAUGAUUUUUCGACCUAUGGAACUCAAGUUAUGCUUUUUCAAAGAAUAUUACCAAAGCUGAAAAUUUUAUCAAACGGAUUGAGUGGGACUUUGAAAAACUUAGGAAAACAUUUUCUGGGUUUUAAAUCUUAUUUUGGUGAGAUUUUGGAUGCUUAAAUUGCUCUCCUUACUUUUAGAACACAUUUAGAUUUUUU